GACGAACGCUGGCGGCGUGCUUAACACAUGCAAGUCGAACGGAAAGGCCCUGCUUUUGUGGGGUGCUCGAGUGGCGAACGGGUGAGUAUCACGUGAGUAGCCUGCCCUUGACUUUGGGAUAACUUCAGGAAACUGGGGCUAAUACCGGAUAGGAGCUCCUGCUGCAUGGUGGGGGUUGGAAAGUUUCGGCGGUUGGGGAUGGACUCGCGGCUUAUCAGCUUGUUGGUGGGGUAGUGGCUUACCAAGGCUUUGACGGGUAGCCGGCCUGAGAGGGUGACCGGCCACAUUGGGACUGAGAUACGGCCCAGACUCCUACGGGAGGCAGCAGUGGGGAAUAUUGCACAAUGGGCGGAAGCCUGAUGCAGCAACGCCGCGUGCGGGAUGACGGCCUUCGGGUUGUAAACCGCUUUCGCCUGUGACGAAGCGUGAGUGACGGUAAUGGGUAAAGAAGCACCGGCUAACUACGUG
rnacentral:rRNA from 1 species